rnacentral:tRNA from 1 species
UCCCUGGUUGUCCAGUGGAUAAGACUCUGCACUUUUAAUGCAGGGGCCCCAGAUUCGAUCUGUGGUCAGGGGA